rnacentral:rRNA from 1 species
AUUGAACGCUGGCGGCAUGCCUAACACGUGCAAGUCGAACGCGAAAGGUCCUUCGGGACCGAGUAGAGUGGCGGACGGGUGAGUAACGCGUGGGAAUCUGCCCAGUAGUGGGGGAUAACUCGGGGAAACCCGAGCUAAUACCGCAUACGCCCCAAGGGGGAAAGGCUUCGGCCGCUAUUGGAUGAGCCCGCGUCAGAUUAGCUAGUUGGUGGGGUAAUGGCCCACCAAGGCGACGAUCUGUAGCUGGUCUGAGAGGACGAACAGCCACACUGGGACUGAGACACGGCCCAGACUCCUACGGGAGGCAGCAGUGGGGAAUAUUGGACAAUGGGCGAAAGCCUGAUCCAGCAAUGCCGCGUGUGUGAAGAAGGCCUGCGGGUUGUAAAGCACUUUCAGUUGGGAAGAUGAUGACGUUACCAACAGAAGAAGCACCGGCUAACUCCGUG